rnacentral:rRNA from 1 species
GAACGCUGGCGGCGUGCUUAACACAUGCAAGUCGAGCGGAAAGGCCCUUCGGGGUACUCGAGCGGCGAACGGGUGAGUAACACGUGAGUAACCUGCCCCUGACUCUGGGAUAAGCCUGGGAAACCGGGUCUAAUACCGGAUACGACCAUUUCUCGCAUGUGAUGGUGGUGGAAAGUUUUUUCGGUUGGGGAUGGGCUCGCGGCCUAUCAGCUUGUUGGUGGGGUGAUGGCCUACCAAGGCGACGACGGGUAGCCGGCCUGAGAGGGCGACCGGCCACACUGGGACUGAGACACGGCCCAGACUCCUACGGGAGGCAGCAGUGGGGAAUAUUGCGCAAUGGGCGGAAGCCUGACGCAGCGACGCCGCGUGGGGGAUGACGGCCUUCGGGUUGUAAACCUCUUUCAGCAGGGACGAAGUUGACGUGUACCUGUAGAAGAAGCGCCGGCUAACUACGUGCCAGCAGCCGCGGUAAUACGUAGGGCGCAAGCCUUGUCCGGAAUUAUUGGGCGUAAAGAGCUCGUAGGUGGCUU